UGUUGGCCGCUCCAUUCACAUCCCAGCCCAGUUGGGUCCGGGCAGUGCGCGCGGCUCCUCGGGGGCGCCCUCGCAGUGCGGGUGGGGGGCGCGCCUGAGGGAGCGUCCCUCUCGGAGACACCUUCCUCUCCUACCUGCCACGCGCUCUCGGCUGGCCUGUGGGACACAACCCUCUCCCCUCCCCUUCUCCGCCUUCGCGAGCGUGGGCGACUCGAGGCACUGGCGAGUCUCUCCAGAAUGUCAAGGUCAUCACAAUGAGUAUGGAUUCCUGCUCUGGAGAACUUAGCUGAUGGAGAACAGGGCUUGGCCAUCUUCCCUUGGGGGCAUUUUUUGGUGAUUUGCUGACCCUGAUGCAGAAGCUGUCAAUCUGACCUGAGGAACAAUACUGGCCAGGGUCUACUGGUCUGGGGCUCCUGAGAGUGGACUUACUGGCACCUUGGAAGCCAUUCCUUUACCUUGAAUAGUCUCAUUCUUUUGAGUUUUUUCACAUGCCUCUGGGCCCACUGUAUGUCCUUCUUGGAGAAGUGUCUGUUCAAGUCCUUUGCCUGUUUUUUAAAUGGGUUGUUUGUCUUCCCUGGAGCGCAGUCAUGAGACAUAUCAGUGAAAAUAUUGCUGCGUGGAACAUGUGUACAGGACACACGGACAAAGCCAAAGGAUGGAGGGUUUUGACCAGCACCUGCUUUGGCCCAGAGAAGGAAGGUUUGGUCUACAGAGUGGACGGCAACAAUAGAAACAUUAGACAGCAGGAUCCAGGAUGUUAUCUGUAAUAUUCCAGCUUAUGGUACUUCUUGGGAAGGUUUGAAGUGCCAGAAAUUAGUCAUCUCAUUUUUUUAAAUGGGAUUUAUUCAUCAAAUAUGGUUGCAAAUUUGCACAUUUAACGACUGGAGGGCUCAGAUGAUUAAUGGAGGUUUGGGGGCGGGCAACGAACAUACGCUCCAUCAGUGGAAA